AGGUCACCUGGCUAAAUUGUGACGUCAUGCUAUUGUCCGUCAUUGUCGAGGCUAGCUAACGAAGCCCCAUGACACAGAUCUACGUUUGCCAAGAUUAAUAUUUUGAGAACGACUCCAGUUAUCUGCACACGAGCCCAAACGACGUGCAAUAUGCCAGUGGUAAGACGACUCUCUGAGUGUGAGGGGUUUGAUUCCGAAGUGGCUGAGUGUCUAGCUCCAACACAGCCGAAGGAGUUCCACGAUUCGGUUCCAAACUUUAUCACAAUCAAACCAACUCCCAUCCGUCCCGAUCCACCAUUCCAGUGGGACUGCAGUACUGAGGACGACACUCAACUAUCCAAGAAACACGAGCUCCGCGUGCAACUGAUGGCUGCCCUAGCCGAGGUAGAUACUCUCUCCGCUCUGACCUCCAAGAGGCUCGAUUCUGUUCCAGAUGUCUGGAUCUGAAUAACCUACAUCUGCAGACACAAGUCGGACAACUGUCGGGUGAAAUUGCCUCCCUACAGGAACAGGUUCAACGCUUGGUGGAGGAGGUGGACAUGUUGAAAGGGAUUGGACAACGGGCACAUCCAGGACAGGGUGAAGGUGUUGGUCUUGCUCACAAGCCAGUGGCCUUACAGACACUAUCCUUUGGUCGGACCGGCCAAGUACAGAAUGUUAUGUCUGAUGGCCAGGGACAAGUUGUUUCCAAGACCCCAGCUCCCACAAAGUUAUCUGCCAUCAAGAAAGGACUUGUCAACAAGCUCGGCACAUGUGAUAGAAAACAGUAACAGGAAACAUAAUGUACAGAAAUCUGUAUCUUUCUUUAGCGGUUUAGGCAAAAUGUUCGGGAGACACAGAUCGUAACAAUGUAUGUCAAGUCGGUAUUUGCAUUAAACCUUAUCAUACCUAA